rnacentral:rRNA from 1 species
GGGGAAUAUUGCACAAUGGGCGCAAGCCUGAUGCAGCCAUGCCGCGUGUGUGAAGAAGGCCUUCGGGUUGUAAAGCACUUUCAGCGGGGAGGAAGGCGAUAAGGUUAAUAACCUUGUCGAUUGACGUUACCCGCAGAAGAAGCACCGGCUAACUCCGUGCCAGCAGCCGCGGUAAUACGGAGGGUGCAAGCGUUAAUCGGAAUUACUGGGCGUAAAGCGCACGCAGGCGGUCUGUCAAGUCGGAUGUGAAAUCCCCGGGCUCAACCUGGGAACUGCAUUCGAAACUGGCAGGCUAGAGUCUUGUAGAGGGGGGUAGAAUUCCAGGUGUAGCGGUGAAAUGCGUAGAGAUCUGGAGGAAUACCGGUGGCGAAGGCGGCCCCCUGGACAAGGACUGACGCUCAGGUGCGAAAGCGUGGGGAGCAAAC